GGAAAGAGGCGGUGGGAGAAGAGGGGGUGGAGCCGGGGGAGGAGGGAACGUGUGGGAACUUGGGGACUGGGCGAGGUGAGGGCUUGGGCGGGCGUGAGCCCCAGGUGCUGCGCUCUCUGUUUGGGCUCGGAACCCGGCAGGACCAGGACCACAGUCUCCGGGGUCAUCCGUUCCCUCCCCACCCAAAAAGGAAUCGCCACCGGGUCGGAGGCUGAGGUCAGUCCCCUUUCGCCAUGUGUUUUGGGAAUACUGGACCUAGGGAAGGACAGAAAUUGCUUUUCCCUCAAUUUUCGCUUAAUCUUCCCUUUAGCCCUUUAACGGUACUUACCAUUUUGCUCUUUUGUGGCCCGGACCAGGACUGGAACCGGCCAAGUCUUUGGUUCUUUUUUUGAAGCGGGUCUCUGUGAUCUCUUCGUUGAGACACGCCCUUCCCAAGCCUCCUAGGGAAAGCUUAAGGGAAGGAAACAGGCGUCUACAGCCCCCACUCCCAUUGAACUCAGUUCUCCAGAACGUCUUUCACCUCUUCUCCCUCCCUUUCAUUCAUUCUUUUAACAAAUAUUUACUGAGCAGGCUUUGUGCUCUGUGCUGGAGACAGAGCAAGCAUGAGACAGACGUGCCUUGCUGUCUUGGAGUUUACAGUCUGGUACGAGAAAGAACAAAGUAAAUAGGCCUUUGUCAUCUCUCCUUUACCCUUACUUAGCUGAAUGCUACAGACUUCUAACUCACCACCCUACCCUCAGCCCUGCCCCCAUCAACUGCCAAAGUGAUCUUUAAGAAAUGCCAUUCUUAUCUUCCCUUUCUUGCUUAAAUCCUUUGGUGGUUACUCAGACCUGGAAGACUGUUGAUAAGCGCCUUGAGUAUGACAGGUGACAGUCAAGGUUCUCCCUUUCCCUGCUCUUUCCCCUCCAUGAUAAAACCCCAUUUCAGCGGGAUAAUGCCCUAUCCUCCCAAUAUGCCAGCUCCAGUAUUUGUAAACCAUUUGUGUUAGUUGCCAACAUUUUUUAAAGACAGACAUUUCCGUGUGAACAGAAAUCUGCAUCAGUACUCCAUCUGGCAGGACUGCGUUCACAUUCCUGUGUGGCAACAAUGGGCUGAAGCCAAGGAGUGGCUGUCCAUUCUAGGUCAGAGACUUUUCAAAGUGCCAGGGUCCCCUCCGGACCUGAGUCUGCUUUUCUCAUUUAUGUAUCUGCAUGUAGGCAUUUGUGCCAGUGACCCCUACACUUUUAAUAUGAGCAAGAUUGAAAGAGAGUGUUGUGUAAUGUAAACAGCACGGAUUUGAUGUUAAAACCGCAGGAUUUGAACCCCAGAAGAGUUUCCAGUGCAAAAACUUCUCCAUGGGGAUCCAUCUUUGGCAAACCAAAAAAAGAUCAGUAAUCUAGAGAUUGGCUCAGGUUGAAAUAAUGCAAUGUAAUGUGACUGUGGCUUCUGCCCCCAGCCAGAAAAUGCCUUAGUGGGGCAGAGGGCUCAUGAUAAUUAUACCCAAAUGACGUCAUCAGUGCGUUGAGGGAACCGAAGUGCCUUUUGCCAGGCACCCCUGAGUGUCUGCUAACAGGUUGCAUGGAUUCCCUGCUUUCAUCAUCUCUGCAUUCUAGGCCAGAGGUCAACAAACCACAGCUAUUGACAGACACAAACAGAUACUGAAAUACAAUGUGGCAGAUGAAGCCCAGGAUAUUUUGGGAGCCUGAGAGAAAGGCACAAUCCAUCUUGGGUUGGUGGGAGAGCAGGAAAGACUUUUUGAAAGGGAAGAUACUUGAGCCUCAGAUUCUGUAAAGGAUUUUUUUUUAAAUUAAUAGGCUAUUGGUGUAGAGCAGUUUCAGGUUCACAGAAAGAUUAAAAAGGACAGUGUUCCCAUACACCCAAUCUCUGCCCCUCCCCAUUUCCCCUAACAUUAACAAGCUAGUGUUGCACAUUAGUUACAAUCAAUGUACCAAUAUUGAUAUGUUAUUAAUGCAAUAGUUUACAUUAGGGCUCAUUUAUUUUGUACAGUUGAAUUAAUUUUGACAAAUGCAGAUAUCUGUAUCUACCAUUGCUAUCUCCUACAGAACAGUUUCACUGCCUUAAACCCCCCUGUGCCGGGGCACCCGUGUGGCUCAGGCGAUCAAGAGUCCUUCUGACUUGAUUUUGGCUCGGGUCAUGAUCUCACAGUUUGUGACUUCAACCCCAGUGUCAGGCGUUUGCACUAAUGACAUAGAGCCUGCUUGGGAUUCUGUGUUUCCCUCUCUCUCUGCCUCUCCCCUGUGUGCUCUCUCUUUUCUGUCUCUCAAAAACCAACCAACAAACAAACAAACAUUAAAAAAACAAAAAACUCCCCUGUGCCUUAUGCCCAGUGGGCCAGCCAGAGAAGAUGCUGAACAGGAGGCAGAAUUGCACCUUGUUUUGUUCCUUCCUGUCCCUAGAGGGCCUGUACUCUCUCUGCUCUUUCCAGUAAAUAACAUUUAGGCUAAAACAAAAAAAAUUUUAAAAGACAAAAGAAACCCUACAAAAACCCAACUAUUCACUUACUUGACCCUCAUCCCCCGCCCUCACCCCAAUUCCUUGGCAAUCACUUCUCUUUUAUGCUUUGUUUUAAUUUUGCCUUUUCCAGAUGUCAUAUCAUUAGAAUCCUAAGAGUGUCACCUUUCCUGACUGGACUCUUGCACUAAGCAAUAUGAUUUAAGGUCCCUCUAUGUCGUUUUAUGGCUUGAUGGUUCAUUUCUUUUUAUCACGGAGUAAUACGCCAUUGUAUGAACAUACCACAUUUUUUCCAUUCACCUGCUUAUGGAUUGACUUGUGUCUUUUAUUUUAUUUUUAAUUUUUUUAAUGUUUAUUUAUUUUUCAGAGGGAGAGAGAGACAGUGUGUGAGCAGGGGAGGGGCAGAAAGAGAGGGAGACACAGAAUGUGAGGCAGGCUCCAGGCUCUGAGCUGUCAUCACAGAGCCUGACACGGGGCUUAAAGUCAAGAGCUGUGACAUCAUGGCCUGAGCCAAAGUCGGACACCCAACGAACCAAGCUGCCUAGGUGCCCCCUUUUUAAAAAAAAAAAACAACUUUUUUUAAUGUUUAUUUUUUGAGAGAGAUAGCAGGAGUGGGGGAGGGAGAGAGAGAGAAUGGGACAGAGGAUCUGAAGCAGGCUCUGCACUGACAACAGAAAGCCCAAUGCAGGGCUGGAAACCACAAACUAUGAGAUCAUGACCUGAGCCAAAGGCAGAUGCUUAACCCACUGAGCCACCCAGGUACCCCUCAACUCCUAUCUUCCAAAAAGAAAUGCAGAAGUCCUAGUCCCUGGUACCUAUGAACUGUGGCCUUAUCUGGACAAGCCUUUGCAGGUGUAAUCUAGUUAAGAUGAAGUCAUCAGGGUGGACUUUAAUCCAAUAUGACGGAUGUCCUUCUAAAAAGAGGAACAGGCCAUGUGAUGACAGCGAUUGGGGUGAGGCAGCCACAAGCCAAGGAACACCAAGGACUUGUAACCACUGCCUGACACUAGGAAGAGGCAGGAAGGGAUUUACCCAGAGUCCCAGGUAAGCAUGGCCCUGCUGACACCAGGUUUUCAGACUUCUAACCUGUAGAACUGUGAGAGAAUAAAUUUGGUUGUUUGAAGCCAUCCACUUUGUGGGGCUUUGUUACAGCAGCCUUAGCAAACAGAUACACCUACUGAGGGACAGAGAUCUUUUUUUUUUUAAUUUUUUUUUUCAACGUUUUUUAUUUAUUUUUGGGACAGAGAGAGACAGAGCAUGAACGGGGGAGGGGCAGAGAGAGAGGGAGACACAGAAUCGGAAACAGGCUCCAGGCUCCGAGCCAUCAGCCCAGAGCCUGACGCGGGGCUCGAACUCACGGACCGUGAGAUCGUGACCUGGCUGAAGUCGGACGCUUAACUGACUGCGCCACCCAGGCGCCCCCAGAGAUCUUGAUUCAGUUUCCAACAGUCGAGAAUAAAACUGCUAUAAACCAGGGCCCCUGGGUGGCUCAGUCAGUCAAGCAUCUGACUCUUGGUUUUGGCUCAGGGCAUGAUCUGAGGUCGAGUCCCGCACUGAGAGAGUGGGGAGCCUGCUUGGGAUUCUCUCUCUCCCUCUCUCUCUCUGCUCCUCUCCUUCUCUCAAAAUAAAUAAGCUUUAAAAAAAAAGAGAGAGAGAGAAGAAAAAAUGCUAUAAACCUCCUUGUGCGGGUGUUUGUGUGGACGUAAGUUUUCAGCUCAUUUGGGUGAAUACCGGGAGUACAAUUGCUAAAUCACAUGUUAAACCUAUGUUUAGCUUUGUAAAAUAUUAUCAACCAUCUUCCAAAGUGGCUGUACCAUUUUCAAUUUCCACCAGUAGUGAAAGAGAGUGCCUGAUGCUUCAUAUCCAUGUCAGCAUUUGGUAUUGUUAGGUCUUGUUGUUUUUGUUUUGUUUUGUUUUUUAUUUCAGCCAUUCUUACAUGGAUGUACAGAGUAAGAACCUAGUUUGUUUCUCCAAAGUUUCUUUUUGUUCCUAUUACUCUGAAAUUUCAUGGUUAACAGCCUUGAGACACCCAGUGGCUUGCCUGCCUGCCUGCCUUCCUUCCUUCCUUCCUUCCUUCUUCCCUUCCUUCCUUCCUCCUCUUCCCUUCCCCACCCUUCCUUUUCUUUCCUUUUUCCCUCCAUCCAUCCUCUCUUCCUUUCUUUCACUUUUUAUUAUGACAAUUUUCAAGCAAACACAAAAGUUGAGAGAGUAGUACAAUAAUCUCCAUAUACCCAUCACCCAGCUUUAUUUUACUCUUCAGUCUAUCCUUCUUACUAUUAGCAGGAUUUUAUAGCAAGUCCCAGAUACUACACCCUUGCCUUUGUAGAUACCUUAGUAUGUAGUUCUAACAGAUGAGAAUUUAAAAAUGAAUAAUGAAAUAACAAUUCCAUGAUCACACUUCAGGAAAUUAACACACACACAGUCCAUGUUUGAUAUUCCCUCAUUGUCUCAAAAAUGACUUCUUUUACACUGGCCUACUUAAGUCCAGAUUCAAGGUCUACCCAUUGCAUUUAGUUGCUAAUUGUCAUUGAAUCUGUAACAAUUACUCCUCCUCCUUUUUUUUCUUUCUUUCUUUUUUCUUUUUUUUCUUUUUACAAUUGAUUUGUUGAAGAAACUGGGUAAAUUAUCUUGUAGAAUGUCUCACAGUCUGAAUUUGUCUGAUUGGACCUUUGUGGUGUUUUUAAAAUGUGAUACAAUACCUUGAAUGUCCUGUAUUAGAUUCCAGUUCAAUUUUUGACAGAAUAUUUUACAGGUGGGGUUAUGUAUUUCCUAUUGCAUCAUAUGAAGAGGUACAUAAUGUCUAAUUAUUUCUCAAUGAUCUCUUUCCAUUUGAAACCCCAUUUCCUUCAGCUCUGGGAUUUUUUUUUUUAAUGUUUAUUUAUUUUGAAAGAGAGAGAGAGUGUGAGCAGGAGAGGGACAGAAAGAAUCCUAAGCAAGCUCCGCACUGUCAGCACAGGGUCCGAUGAGGGGCUUGAUCUCACAACCAGUGAGGUCAUGACCUGAGCCAAAACCAAUGGUUGGUCACUCAGCUGACUAAGCCAGCCAGAUGCCCCCAGCUCUGGGAUAUUUUUGUGAAUUCUUUCUUUGGUGAUGUCUUUCCUCCAUCUCCCUAUUUUCUGUGUCUUCACUUUCUGGAACUCCUAAUGAUUCAGAUAGCUGAACUCUUGGAAUGAUUUUCUAAUAUUGUUUUUUUUCCCUCUCUUAUUUUUCUUUAGUGUUUGUGUAUUUGGGUCUACUUUCUGAAUAUCAUCUUCCAACCUGUAUUUAGUCAGAAUUUUUUGUAGGAGACAGGCAGAAACCACUCUAAAUAUUUUAAGCAGAAAGGAAUUUAAUAUCGGAAAUUAGGUGCUUGUAGACUCAUUGAGAGAUCUGGCAUUUCCAACUUGGGGAGGGCAGGGGUGGGAUGACAGGGAGGGAAGGGACAACUCUUGUUUCAAAGUCAUCACAGCUGUGAUUGAGAGGUCAGGGUUGUUACAGCUACUCCUGCUGCCACCGUAACUUCCUGACCAUGUGAAGCUGGGGACUGGGCACUGGAUGGUAGAGGCUGGCCAUUGACAUUUGUUUCAAAAGUAGAGCUCAAGGAUCAGAGAGCUGUUGUCUGGCUUGAAUAAGAAAUUGAAAUUGUGGGGUAGUCUACGACAUGUCAACUCACAUGAGGUCUUUGAUAUCCAUCCACCCCGUUUUGGCUUUUGUUUUAAUGGAACCAAGGCUGAAUUCCGGACUUAGAUCUAUAGGUGUAAUCAGAAACAGAGCUCCCAUGGCUCUCACGAAGAGCCACAUAAGAGUUGACUGUGCCAGGAGACUAGAGUUCUGAAUUGAAUUUUGGUCAUAUAAUCACCUUUGCUCUCAUAUAAAUAAGGUCACUGGAAAGGCAGGCAUCAUUAACCUAAAAAAAAAAAAAUUAUGAGUCUAUUUCAAUUUCACGAUAACUGAACCAGAAAUAAGUUUCACAGCGUGUGUAGGUUUUGCAGAUUUCUACCUGCAGGGAAAGUGGCAAGGCAUGUCAUGCUGCAGUACUUUCUCUAGCCUUGGGAAGUUCACAGAGCUAUCCGCCUUCAGUCUGUUUCUUCAGAGUGCCAGCUGGGCAACAAGAACCAUUAAUUUGUUGGGUGUUUGUGCGUGUAUUUUAAGAAUGAUAUUUUUUUUAGCCCUGAAUUUUAAGAAAACACCUGCUGUAUUCAUUUUCAAUCAUGUAUUUUUAUUACAUGGUGAUGCAUGGAUAUGCUUCCAUUGUAAGAAAAUUAAAAUAUUAAAGAUUAAAAGUGAAAGUCCCCUGUGAUCACCACCCUCAGUGCCAUUUCGCCUCCCCAGAAAGUAACCAAGUAGCAAUUAUAUAGCAGCUUGCAUUAGUCACGGUAGGUCAGGUUAUGCUGCAGUAAUAAACAUCCUUAAAAAUCUUAGUGCCUUACAACAACAAAGGUUUAUUUCUCGAUCCUUACAUGUUUGUCAUGGGUUGGCUUCAGCCGUUUUCUCUGGACAUAAGUGAAGAAGCAGCCAGGAUGUGCCUAUCUCAUGGCAGAGGGAGAAGAAAGAAUGGUAGAAGCUUUUAAAGCUUCUGCUUGGAAGUAUCCUGUCAUGUUCACUCACAUUUCCAUGGUCAAAGCAAAUCGUAUGGCCAAACCUGACUUCAGUAGGGUGGGGAUGUGUAGUCCUGCUACAGGGCGGGGCAGUGACAAUUUUCCUGUGGUUUUAUAGGGUUCAUAAAACUAUACGAAUAGGUAUCAUUUUAAUAUAAUUUAUUAUGGUACUGAGCCUUACUUUCUGCGUGCAAAAAUAUGUCUUAGAAGUCUUCCUGUGUUAGGCAAAUAGAUCCAUCUCCUUUUUAUUUUAUUUUAUUUUAUUUUUAAUUUUUUUUUUUUAAUUUUUUUUUCAACGUUUAUUUAUUUUUGGGACAGAGAGAGACAGAGCAUGAACGGGGGAGGGGCAGAGAGAGAGGGAGACACAGAAUCGGAAACAGGCUCCAGGCUCUGAGCCAUCAGCCCAGAGCCUGACGCGGGGCUCGAACUCACGGACCGCGAGAUCGUGACCUGGCUGAAGUCGGACGCUUAACCGACUGCGCCACCCAGGCGCCCCGAUCCAUCUCCUUUUUAAACAGUUGUAUGAUAUGUCAUAAUAUGGGUGUACUAUAGUUAUUUAGCAGCUUCCUUGUUUGAAAAUGUUUAAAUUGUCUCUAAUUUUUUUUUUCAAAAAAUUUUUUUUCAACGUUUUUAUUUAUUUUUGGGACAGAGAGAGACGGAGCAUGAAUUGGGGAGGGGCAGAGAGAGAGGGAGACACAGAAUCGGAAACAGGCUCCAGGCUCUGAGCCAUCAGCCCAGAGCCUGACGCGGGGCUCGAACUCACGGACCGCGAGAUCGUGACCUGGCUGAAGUCGGACGCUUAACCGACUGCGCCACCCAGGCACCCCUCUAAUUUUUUAUAUAUGUGCAAGUUUUUGUCUAGAGCGGGUACAGAGAAGUGGAUGUUCUAUGCCAGUUUUCUCUCUGUAUCCUAAUAUGGCACACUCAUAGGAGAAUUCCAAAGAGAGUUUAAUAAAGAAGGACUGUUUACAAAGAACAGCACAGUACCCCCGGGGCUGGUAACAAUUGGGCUAUCACCACUCCUGGGCCAGCAGGAGCAAAGUGAGAGAGCGGGGAGGAGAACAGGGAGGAGAGUCGUGUGAAGAGAUGGGUGAAGCCAGCCCAAUAUGGACCCACAAAGAAGGGGUGAAGGGAAUAAAUGCCUCAAAUCACUCUUUUCCCUCUGAUCUUCUACUGGGCUGACCUGAACCAGAUGACAGAGGGCCAGGUAAUCUGUUGUUGUAGCCGAUGCACGCCUGUCCCCUAGGACACAGAAGAGGAAGAGAGGACAGAGAGCCAAUCUGGAGGACCAAAUAGAAGAUACCCACACCAUUCUCCUACCCACAGUACAGGAAUGACUUAAUUGUUUGCCAGUAUCAUAAGCAAAAAAUAGUACUUAAAAGUGCAUUUUGGGGGCACCUGUCUGGCUCAGUUGGUAGAGCAUGUGACUCGUGAUCUCAGAGUUGUGAGUUUAAGUCCCACGUUGGAUGCAGAUUAAUUUUUUUUAAAGUGCAUUUUUUAAUAUAUAUUUUUUUUAUUUUAAAAAGUGGUGUAGCCACCUGGAAAACAUUAUGGAGAUUCCUCAAAAAAUUAAAAAUAGAACUGCCCUACGACCCAAUAAUUGUGCUACUAGGUAUUUAUCCAAGGGAUACAGAUGUGCUGUUUCGAAGGGACACAUGUACCCCAAUGUUUAUAGCAGCACUAUCAACAAUAGCCAAAGUAUAGAAAGAGCCCAAAUGUCCAUAGUUGAAUGAAUAGAUAAAGAAGAUGUGGUAUACACACACACACACACACACACACACACACACACACACAAUGGAGUACUACUCAGCAAUCAAAAAGAAUGAAAUCUUGCCAUUUGCAACUAUUUGGGUGGAACUAGAGGGUAUUAUGUUAAGCAAAAUUAGUCAGAGAAAGACAAAUAUCAUGUGACUUCACUCAUAUGAGGACUUUAAGAUACAAAACAGAUGAACAUAAGGGAAGCAAAAAGAAUAUAAAAACAGGGAGGGGGACAAAACAGAAGAGACUCAUAAAUAUGGAGAACAAACAGAGGGUUACUGGAGGGGUUGUGGGAGGGGGUAUGGGCUAAAGGGGUAAGGGGCACUAAGGAAUCUACUCCUGAAAUCAUUGUUGCACUAUAUCCUAACUAACUUGGAUGUAAAUUUAAAAAAUAAAUGGAAUAAAAAAAUAGAAUAAAAAAAUAAAAAGUGCAUUUUUUAAAUGUUUAUUUAUUUUUGAGAUAGAGGGAGACAGCGAGAGGGGGAGGGGCAGAGAGAGAGAGGGAGACACAGAAUCUGAAGCAGGCUCCAGGCUCUGAGCUGUCAGCACAGAGCCCAAUGCAGGGCUCAAACUCACGAACAGUGAGAUCAUGACCUAAGCCAGAGUCGGACCCUUCACUGAUUGAGCCACCAGGCCCCCCGAUUUUAAAAAGUGCAUUUUUAGUUUGCAUUGCCCUAAUUAUUAGCAAGGACUCGUGCUGAUAAUUCAGGGACACAGAUGAUCUCUUCUUCCCUGGACUCUGUGAUGGGUACAUGUAAAGCCAGAGACUGCUUCAGCCGUUGUGUAAUCGUUUCUGGGCCAGUGGGGAGGAAAAGCCGAGAAAUGGAUGUGGUGGCAUCUUUUGAGUCCUGGAUCAAGCCUUACCUGAGGCUACACAUGAGUAUUUGGUAACAUGAGCCUUUUGCUUCAGACAGUUUUGUUGUUGGUGUGAUGUGUGUGUAUGUGUUGGUCACUCAUAACUGAAAGACCUCCAACUGAUGUAUUCUUUGUAUAUUGUACCAUGCUUCGUAUGUGUUUUGUGCAUAUAAAUUUAGGGCUGAAUGAGACCUUAGGUAUCAUUUCAUUCAGAUUCUUUCAUUUUCAUUUAUAACUUCAAAAGUUUAGACACAAAAUCCUAAGACAGUAAUGUGACAAAUCUUGUCAGUUUUGCUUCUAAUUUUAUUUUUUUAUUUAUUUAUUUAUUUUCAAAAAUUUUUUAAAUAUUAUUUAUUUUUGAGAGACAGAGAGAGACAGAGCAUGAGCAAGGGCGGGGCAGAGAGAAAGGGAGACACAGAAUCUGGAAGCAGGCUCCAGGCUCCGAGCCAUCAGCACCGAGCCCGACGCGGGUUCAAACUCACGAAUCACGAGAUCACGACCUAGGCUGAAGUCGGACGCUUAACCGACCGAGCCACCCAGGCGCCCCGUAUUUAUUUAUUUGUUUAAUGUUUAUUUUUGAAAGGAGGGGAGGGAGAGAGAGAGAGAGGGAGACAGAGAAUCCAAAGCAGGCUCCUCGUUAUUAGCACAAAGCCCAACUUGGGGCUCGAACUCAAACUCAUGACCUGAGCCGAAGUUGGACUUUCAAUCGACUGAGCCACCCAGGCACCCUGCUUCUAAUUUUAUAGUAAAGAAAUGGAACAUUGUUUUGUGUUUUUUUAAAGAUUUUUUUUAAUGUUUAUUUUGAGAGAGGGAGAGAGAGAGUGGGGGAGGGGCAGAGAGAGAGAGAGAGAGGGAGAGAGAGAAUCCCAAGCAGGCUCCACACUGUCAGCAUGGAGCCUGAUGUGGGACUCAAACUCUUGAAACCGUGAGACCGUGAACUGAGCCGAAAUCAAGAGUCAGAUGCUGAAUAGACUAAGCUACCCAGGCACCCAAGAUAUGGAACAUUGCACAUAAAGUUGAAAUUCCUUUCGUAUCCUUCCCCAUUUUAUUUCCCGGGGGACCCACUGUCAGGAAUUGGUCACAUAUCUUUUCCCACCAUGUUUUAAUAGUUUUAUCACACAUGUGUAUACCCAGGAACAAUAUGUAGAAUUGUUUUGUGGGUUUAAACUUUCUUAUAUCAAUGCCAUCUUGUCAUAUGUAUCACUGUGUACUUUGCUUUUACCACUCAGCAUUAGGGGUUCAAGGCCUGAACAAAGAUAUGGUUCAUUUUCACUGUUGUGAUAGUAUUCCAUUGCCUGAAUAUAUCACAACGUACUUACCUAACUUAUCUCUGUAACACACGUUGAGAUUAUGGGCUGUUUCCUCAAUGCUGCAGCAAACAUACUAGAGCAUCUCCUGGGACACACUUGGGAGAGUGUCUCCAGGGUAUAUGUUUAGAAGUCGAGCUGCUGCAUCACAAGAUAGGCACGUUUUUCAGCUUUACCACAAAUGAUUAAUUUUCAUUGAUGGUACCAAGUUACAGUUCCCCCAGCAUUGUAUGAAAAUCCCUGUUUUCCCAUAUCUACAUCAGCACCUGGAAUUAUUAGGCUUUUUGAUUUUGCCAGUCUGAUUGGUGUGAAAUUGUAUCUACUUGUCUUAAUUUGCAUUUCUCUUUUACUAGUGAAGGUAAGCAUCUUUUCCUAUGUUUAUUGAUGAUUCUGCUUCCUAUUCCAAACUCCUCGGUUUCCCAGUGGAAAGAAAAUGGCAGAUCACACAGUUCAUCAGCAACAGUGCUGGGUUUAGAACUUGGGUGUUCCAACUCCAGUCUGCUCUUUUCUUCCAGCAUGUUGAACCACUUCCAGAUAUACAUUUUUAAUUUUUUUUUUUACAUGUGUUUACUUUUGCAAGACAGAGACAGAGCACAAGCGGGGGAGGGGCAAAGAGAGAAUGAGACACAGAACCCGAAGCAGGCUCUGGGCUCUAAGCUGUCAGCACAGAGCCUGAUGCAGGGCUCAAACUCACAGACCACGAGAUCACGACCUGAACCAAAGUCAGACGCUUAACUGACUGAGCCACCCAGGUGCCCCCAGAUAUACAUUUUUAGAGUGCUAUUGUUUCUACUAACAGUUACAACAGAGAAAAGAUCUUUUUCCUUCUAAUUAAAUGUUGGGACUAUGAAUUGUCAAUAGUUGGAUGCUGUUUCAGUUAGGGUUAGGUUUGUCUGAAUAAAAGAGAUGCCAGGCUCAGGUCACGAUCUUGCAAUUCAUGAGUUCGAGCCCUGCGUCAGGCUCUGUGCUGACAGCUCAGCCUGGAGCCUGCUUCGGAUUCUGUGUCUCCCUUUCUCUCUGCCCCUCCCCCACUCAAGCUUUGUCUCUCUCUCAAAAAUAAACAUUAAAAAAAAAAGUUGGAGACAAGAAGUUUGGCAUUGCUUUGUGCCAUGAAGUCUUCUAGGACUUAGGCACCUUUACUCUUGUUGCUUCAUUGCACAUAGCUGCUAUUUCCAAGCUCACCUCAUGUUCCAAAAUAGCUGCUCCAACUCCUGACAUUAUGUCUGCAUCCAAGCCAAAAGGAAAAGAGUCAGAGACCCCAGGGGGAUGGUGGAGGUAUUGGGUGCAACACAGCUGUCUCUUGAUAAAGGUUCUAGAAUCUGCAACGUGAUUAUCUGAUCUAUAUCUAUUGGUCAAAAGUCAGCUACAUGGCCCUACUUGGCUCUAAGGGAAGCUGGGAAGAUUAGCAUUCAUUUGGGGGACCAUGUACCUAGGUACAAGGGAGAUGAUCUCUAAAUACUACUCAGAUCCCAGGAAUUAUAAAAUCAUCUUUUUGUGGCAGGUGAGUUGGUCCUGCUAAUCUGGGAGGAAUGUCCCUGUCCUGUGACCUCUGUGACCCCUGGCUCUUCUCUCAGGAAAACUCUGCCUUGUCCAAUAUCCUCAUGGCCAUAUCUAGUAGACAUUAGUGUCACCCUUUGGAGGACCUACACAGAUUUUGGAUAGAACUUCUCAUUGCUUUGUAGAAGAAAGAGAGACAUUUAUUAGGGGACAUCUAAUGGUCUCUGCCACAGAUGCUAAGAAAAAUGUGUGGCCCAAUUUGUUCCAUGUUUAAGUACCUGAGUCUCAUCCUACAUGGAGAUUAAGUGUAAAGACAGUUCUUUGUUUUUUAAUUAAAAAAAAUAUUUAUUUAUUUUUGAGAGACAGAGAAACAGAGCACACGUGGGGAGGGGCAGGGAGAGAAGGAGACAGAAUCCAAAGCAAGUUCCAGGCUCUGAGCUGUCAGCGCAGAGCCCGAUGUGGGGCUCAAACUCACAGACCGUGAGAUCAUGACCUGAGCUGAAGUCGGACACUUAACCGACUGAGCCACCCAGGCGCCCCUAAAGACAGUUCUUGAAGAAAGAUCAUGUACAGUUGAAAUUAUUCUUGAGAUAUCCAUGUGUGUUAUCCUCUACAACUCUUGAACAUGUAUCAAUCAGCUAUUGCUUCAUAACGAGCCAUCUCCAAUCUCAGUAGUAUAAAACAACCAUCAUUUAUUUUCAUGUAUACUUCUGUAGGUUGACUGAUCUAGGUUGGGCUCAGUGGGGCUUGCCUGGGCGUGGCUCCAAGCUGUAGACUAGGUCAAGAUCUGCUCUAGGUGUCUCUCAUCUUUAGAUUAGCAGCCUAGCCAGGCCAUGUUCUCUGGGAUUGCAGAAGCACAAGAGGGCAAGAUUAACCAUGCAAGGUCAACAUUGCAAGCCUCUGCUUGUGUCAAAACUGCUAACAUCCCACUGGGAAAAGCAAAUCACAUACGUGGUCAAGUCUAUUGUCAGUGGGUGGGGGAAACCAUGCACUGCUCUCCACCAAGCUAAAGAAGUAGAAUGAACAAGCCCACCAGUCUCCAACAUAAAAAACCCACUCCUUCUAUGGAGGUGGCAUGGGGGAAAGACUGAAAUGUUUUUACACAAUUUGAUUUACCACAAAGUGAUUUUUUUGUAAAAAAUCAGUUACAUUUAUGCAUUAGUCAGUUUGUGGCACCCAGUCCUUCUGUUUCUUAUUUAAGGAUGUCAAGAAAUCCAUCACCAACCACUUCACUUGUCCAGCUAGUUGCACAUUGCAUUUUACUUCUUUAUUAAUGGUUUGGAACCCAUGAAAUAAUCUAUAUAGUAUUUCCAUAUGAAUUGGUCAAAGUACAUUGGCUAUUGCAGCUGGAUGGCAGGCAUGGCCUGAGUCACAGGUGCAUUGAGCGAUUGGUGGGCAGAACCACUUUCACGCUUUAAAUCCCUCUCCCACUAUCUAUGACACUGACGUUGUCUGCCUACCAGCUGUUCCCCUUAUUUGAGCAGUGAUGCAGGUAAGAUAGGUGCCCGGCCUCUGUAGUGGACACUGUGGCAUGCUGCCCAGAUCCUCCGCUCUAAUACUGAGGCACUCAUUCCCCCAUCUGCUGGGAGAAUUGGCCGCUGACAGUACUCAACUGAGUCCCUCUUGGGGACUUGCCCUUGGCUGAAGAGCGCAACCCCAGCCCGAGUACUGCAUCCAAUGACUGUAUGAAGUGGGAGCCCCAAGGUCCAGCCUCCCUGCCAUCCCGCCUCUUUACUCCUCCCCACUCCCCGCAGGGUGGGCGUCAGCUGAGACCUCUGAUGAGGCUGCAUUGCAGUUUGACUUUUCCCUUCCACCUGUCACCUUGAGAGCACACUGCAGGAAACUUGCAGCAUGCACGUCUCCCCGUUGGGGUCUUAAUUCCUGAGGAACCAAAACCACAAGGCUCCUAAGUCACACAGAGCUGGGUUCGAGUGUUAUCUCAAAUACCCACUAGCUAUGUGGCUUUAGACUUCGUGAAUCUGCUGUAAACCUCUGAAAGUCUCAGGUUUUUCAUCUCUAAAGAUGCAAUAAUAAUAGUAUCUGCCUCUUCUAAUGAUAGUAGAGGAUGAAGAGAAAUAAUGCAUGGAAAGCAGUGUGAAACCCUUAGCACGCUACCUGGCCCAUACUAGGUUUUGCCGAAAUGUAUUCUUCCCUUUUUACUCAGCCCUUUGUGGGCGUUUCCAGAAGCCGGCGUCCCCAUACCUGAGUAAAGCGGAAACGGACCUGUUGUGCUAUCUUGUUUCCAGCAGAUGGCGCCAGCGGAUAAGGCUGCAGUCUCGUCCAGCUUGGUUACAAGGUCCACCAUUGACAGAUUAUAUACAUCAGUUUUCCAUGCAUUAUCUCAUUUGAUUCUCCUUCAUCAACCAUUUACCAAGUGCUGACUGUUCUAUCAUUUAUUCUUUCAUCUCUUUGUCUUAAAUGCUUCCUGAGCACUUACUCCAGCCAAAGAGUGGCUUUAAAUCUCUUCUAAAACAUCAUGAUGACUAAGAAGCAAACAAGACAGAGAGGGAGAGAGAGAGAGAGAGAGAGAGAGAGAGAGAGAGAGAGAGAGAGUGGGACAGAGAGAGAGGCAGGCAGGAAGGAAGAAAAAUACGAUUCUGGAUUUUGAAAUUAAAAGUUUUAGGCACUACUAUUGGGCUUGUGCCAACUCGUUCGGAAAGGAGGCAGCUUUAAUAAAGCGGAAGAAGUACAUAAUACGACUGAACAGAAUUAGGAGGCAGUGGUCCCUCUGCAGGAGCAGCUGAGGUGCUUCUAGAGGCCGUCUGCAGGCCUUCCCCAGAGCUAUCGAUCUGAGGGCAGAACAACUGGUCCCUGGGCUGGUUAAAAUUGCCGUGUAGGAGAAAGAAGAAAGAAUCCAUAAAGGAGGUGUCAAAGUGCUUGGGAGGAGACAGUUAGCUGGCCUGGAGUCAGGAGCCCCAGACCGGAGUCAUUUUGCAGGUCUUCUGGUCAUGCCAGGAGGCACGCCUGGAAGCCACCAGCCCAGGACCCGGGAGAAGUCCGAUUCUGUGGUUGGGACAGAGGCUGCCCACCUCAAGUCUUCUUGCACCUGCUCCAGAACCGUGAGUGAAUGAAUGUGCUUUCCUGAAGGUCACCACACAGGGUUGUUGUUUGAGGAAAUGUAUAUACAGUGCCUGGUACGUGGGAAGCUCUCAAUAAACGAUAACUAUUUAUUACUGAUAAAAAUACUACCACUACCGAUCAAUGGUUCUUACGAUCUUCUCUGAUGUAAUUGCUAAGAGCAAGGUUUUGUGAGAAAUACCCAAUGAACCUACAGAGAAGUUUUAAUUAUUUGGGGAUUCCGAGAGGAUCCAGGACUCUGAAGGUAAAGAGACAGAACACCAAGUUAGGGAAAGGGACACACAGAUGGACUCAGUAAAAUUUGUUGAAUGGGUGGCUCAGGGGGAUUCUCUUCUAACAGCAAGAGUUUCAUUCAUGGUUCCCUACUCUGAGCCAGGCACUGUGCUUGCUGUUGGAGCGACAGAGAUGAACAAACAUCUUGUUUGUUUUCUUUUUUAUUUAAAAAAAAUAUUUAUUUUUGAGAGGGAGAAAGCAGGAGAGCAACAGAGAGAGAAGGAGACACAGGAUCCGAAGCAGGCUCUAGGCUCCGAGCCGUCAGCGCAGAGCCCGAUGCGGGGUUCGAACUCACAAUCAGUGAGUUCAUGACCUGAGCUGAAGUCGGACGCUCAACCGACUGAGCCAUCCAGGCACCCCCCCCCAUCUUGUUUGUUUUCAAGGAGCUCCUGGUACAAGGGUGGAAAGCCAAGGUACCUACAGGGUCUAGUCUGGUGACAUAAAUGAGGGAAGUGGACCAGGUGUGAAUAAGGAACAUGGGUAAGAGAAAUAUUUUAUUUUCUUCUUCCACUGUAAAACAACAACAACAAAAAAAAAACAACCCACAAUAUUGCAAGAGUUAUGACAAAUGGCUCUGAGAUGAGGCUUAAAUGCAGAGACAAUAGAGCAUGGUGGGGACUGUGGAGAAAUAAACAGUGCUCUAUCCGAAGGGGGCCACUACCACAAAGGUGGAGAACUGCACCCGUCUUACUGGAUUUCCAGUUUGUUCAAGAGAAGCCAGAAACUGGAAAAGAAAAAUUUUUUUUGCGCAAUCUCUUAAUUUUUAAUUUUUGGCAAUGAAUGCAAAAAAAUUUUUUAAAAACACCAUGUGGGCCCAAAAAAGUACAGGCCAAGCAAGUAAAACAUAAUUCUCUCUGAAUGCCAGAUCUGAGUCUGAGGGUCCAGUGUGUGAUCUCCAGUCCAAUUGGAAAGACAGAUGGGAGUUUGGGCGAUUUCGACACAGCUUGAUAAGUGUUAAGAUGCCAAGAUGUGAUGUGAUGGGUACACAGAAGAAGAGCUGGCAGGGUGGUCUUUGAGGAGGAGAGGACGCCUGACCUGAGUCCUAGAGGAAGGGCCCAACUAGCCAGGGAACUGGGGUUGGGCGAGCCAGUCAGAGGGAAUGGCAUAGGGGAGUGCAGUGGUCAGGAGCCCAGCAGAGCGGCAAAGCUCAGGGCUCAGGUGUCACAUGUGGGUAGGGAGCAGGAAGAGAUAAUCGGGAGGUGGGCAGGACUAGAUGGGAGAGUGGCUUUGACCGCAUCGUCUGUAUUUAAUGAUUUCUUAAUUUUCUCUCAUUGUAAUUUCUGCUGUUUUUAAUAGAAAACCAGGAGUUGUGUCUGUGCCCCCAAAACAGCCAUUGCCUCUGAUAAGAAGCUUUUUCAGCUCUCAAAGUUGACACCCCCCCCCCCUUUCUCCUUUCCCCACUUUGGCUCAUCCUUGUCUGUACUCACUCUGACCCCUCCAGUAUUAAAGAAAAUAAAUACUUUUGACCUUUGUCAGAACACCUUGGACUUGCCAGCACAAAAAGAAACAAUUUGCACUGGAGGAAAUGAUCCCUUUCCUCCCAAAGGGCUCUUUCUCUAUGUCCAGGGCCAAAUGCAGUUCUGAUUCAGAGACCACAGGGGUGGCCAGCAGGGCCUGGGGUUGGAAGACAGGAGGCCGUUCUAGUCCUGGUCCUGGGGACUGACUCCUCGUGUAGCUGCAGAUAAGACCAGGCCACCCGUGCCCAACCUGCAGAAGCAGGUGGUUUGGAUGGUCUCCCAGAACCUUCUUCAUCAAGGCUCAGGGCUCAAAUCUCUUGCACACAGAGUCAGUCUGGACCUGAUGUCCGUGAUGUGUCGCCAUGUAACCAGCAUGUGCUACGUGUCAGGCACUAUGCCCGCCUCUUGCCAUACGUGAUUUCAUGUAGUCCUCAUAAAAGCUUACCCCACUUUAUAGAAAAGGGACCUGAAGUCUAGGAGAGUUGCCCAAUGGUGAACUGGGAUGUACAACCUCCAAAACUAUGUUAUUUGAAACAAAAUGUAGUUCAUUCUGAUGGUGAGUUCUAUGUGUCAACCUGGCUGGGCUAAGGGAUGCCCAGAGAGCUGGUAAAUGUUAUUUCUGGGUAUGUCUGCGAGGGUGUAUUUGGAAAUGAUUAGCAUCUGAAUCAGUAGACUGAGUAAAGAUCACCAAUGUUGGGAGGGAGGGGCAGGGAUCGCUCAAUCUGUUGAUGGCGAAUUUGCUCUUUCUGCCUGAGCUGGGACAUCCAUGUUCUCCUGCCCUUGGACACUGGCACUUCUGGUUCUCAGGUCUUUACACUCAGACUGUCUGCUGCCUGGGUUCUCGGGCCUUUGGACUGGACUGGAAUGUUCCAGCACUGGCUUUCCUGGUUCUCCAGCCUACAGACAUGAGAUGGUGUGUGAGCCAAUUCCUGCGAUAAAUCUCUCUCUUUGUCUUGUAUACACACAUGUACAUAUACACAUAUCCAUAUCUAUCUGUAAACAUCUAUCACCCAUUGGUUCAGUUUCUCUGGAGAGCCCUGCUAAUACGUUCAUAUACAUAGUCACAUACCAAACAGCACAGGAGAGUUUCUCAUGAAAAGCAAACUCUCAUGCCCAUUGCCCAACUCCGUUGGGGCAAUCUCUUUUAAUCACUUUGAUUUUCAGGUGAUUAUGUCCCUAAAUAUAAACAAUAGCUAGACAAUGUUUAUUGUCUGUAAAGUUUACUUCUACUCUGUGCUUUCUCCAACUGUUGAUUAUUUAUAUAUUUAUUGGUAUUUCUCAUUUCUCCUCAUAAAUUCAAUAAACAGCACCCCUAUUUUCUUAUUCUAUCACAUGGACAAUCCCUUUUGACAACUCACUUUCUCUCUCUCUCUCUCUCUUUGAUUCAGAUUCAAGUUAACGUACAGUGUAGUAUUGGUUUCAGGGGUAGAAUUUAGUGAUUCAUCACUUACAUACAACACCCAGUGUUCAUCCCAGCAAGUGCCCUCCUUAAUGCCCAUCACCCAUUUAGUCUGUCCCCCCACCCACCACCCUUCCAGCAACCCUAAGUUUGUUCUCUAUAUUUAAGAGUCUCUUAGGGGUGGCUCGGUGGCUCAGUCGGUUAAGCGUCUGACUCGUGGUUUCAGUUCAGGACAUGAUCCCACAAUUUCUUGGAUUCGAACCCUGCAUCAGGCUCCACACUGACAGUGCAGAGCCUAUUUGGGAUUCUCUCUCUCUCUCUCUCUCUCUCUCUCUCCCCCUCUGCCCCUCCUCUACUCGUGCUCUCUGUCUCUCUCAAAAUAAAUAAAUAAAAUAAAGUCUCUUGCGGCGCCUGGGUGGCUCAGUCAGUUGAGCCUCCCAACUUUGGCUCGGUUCAUGAUCUCGCGGUUUGUGGGUUCAAGUCCCACGUUGGGCUCUGUGCUGACAGCUCAGAGCCUGGAGCCUGCUUUGAAUUCUGUGUCUUCCUCUCUCUCUGUUAUUUCCCUGCUCACACACACUCUCUCUGUCUCUGUCUCUGUCUCUCUCAAAAAUAAAUAAACAUUAAAUUUUUUUUUUAAGUCUCAUGGUUUGCCUCCCUCUCUGUUUUUAUCUUAUUUUUCCUUCUCUUCCCCUAUGUUCAUAAGUUUUGUUUCUUAAAUUCCACAUACGAGUGAAAUCAUAUAUUUGUCUUUCUCUGAUUGACUUAUUGUGCUUAGCAUAAUACAUUCUAGUUCCAUCCACAUUGUUGCAAAUGGCAAGAUUUCAUUCUUUUUGAUUGCUGAGUAUUAUUCCCAUGUGUGUGUGUGUGUGUACAUAUAUAUACCACAUCAUCUUUAUCCAUUCAUUCGUCGAGGGACAUUUGGGCUCUUUCCAUACUUUGGCUAUUGUUGAUAGUGCCGCCAUAAACACUGGGGUGCAUGUGCCCCUUCGAAUCAGUGUUUUUGUAUCUUUUGGAUAAAUACCUAGUAGUGCAAUUGCUGGGUCAUAGGGUAGUUCUAUUUGUAACUUUUUGAGGAACCUCCAUACUGUUUUCCAGAGUUGACAUUUCACUUUCUAAGAUGAAGGCAUGAGCAGUAUUUUUCCCGCCAUCUUUCCUCCCUGCUUCUGUUUUCCAUCUUUUGUCAGCCUGGCUGAUUUCAAAAGUCCCCCACCGCGUUUAGUUGUGUGUAGCCAUGUGACUGGUGCUGGCCAAUGGGUUGUGGGAGGGAGUGACCUUUGUUAGCCUAGGCUGGAGCAUUUAAUGACUGUGAGUUUCUCACCCCGUACACAGACACGCAUGCUCUCCUGCCCACUGCCACACCUGUCAUGUGGAAGAGUCUCCGUUAGCCUGAGUCCUGGGAGAGCAGAGCACCCCCACCAGGAUACAGUCAACGUGUAGUGUGAGUGAGAUGGGAGUCUUCAUUGUCCUAAGCCUCUGAGAGUUUGGUGGUUAUUUGCUUUGUCAGCAGAGGCAGGCAUAUCCUAACUUAUGCCCAAAUAUAACACAAUAUAACGUUAUUAUAUUCUUUCCUGCAAAUAUAGCCAUGAUGCUAAUGUAUUCUCCAUACUUUAACAAAGAUUUUUUUUUUUAAAAAAGACAAACUUUCUCUGUCCUCACAAGUCUGAAAAUGUCUUUAUUUACUCUCCUACUUGAUUCCAUUUGGCUGGGAAUAGAAUUGUAGGUUAAAAGUCUCUUUCAGAACUUUCAAAUACUGCAUUAUGGGCAUCUGGCUUUUGACUUCUUUAAAAAAAAUUUUUUUUAAUGUUUUUAUUUUAUUUUUGAGAGAGACAGAGCAUGAGCAGGGAAGGGGCAGAGAGAGAGAGGGAGACACAGAACCCGAAGCAGGCUCCAAGCUCUGAGCUGCCAGCACAGAUCCCAACGUGGGGUUCGAACUUAUGAACCAUGAGAUCGUGACCUGAGCCAAAGUCGGAUGCUUAAUCAACUGAGCCACCCAGGCGCCCCCAUAAUUCCUUUGUUUUUGAAACCCUGUAUAAAUGGAGCAACUCAUCUGUCCUCUUGUUCCGGUUCAGUUUCCUCUGCUAUAAAUCGGGAGUGAUGACACAAGCGAAAGAGCGUGCUAGAUUACAGGCACCUAGGACGUGUUUGUUAAGUCUGCACGGCCCAUUGUGGCCCAAAUCACUCUCACGUAUUUAUCUUACCUCUUGUAGGAUAGGGCACAAAAAUAGGUAAUAUAGUCAAUUAAGCGGACAACUCAUGGUCAUGGGAUCUGAUGUCAGGCAGACUGGGAGGUGAAAAGCCACUACAUAGGAAGAGGGACGUUUUUUCCAGACACCGUAUUUGACAACGAAUGAGAAUUCCUGUCGUUACACGUCCUCACCAACAUCUGGUGUUGUCAAUAUUCUGGAGUUUGGCCCUUCUCAGGAUUAAGUGGUGGUGUCUCAUUGCAUUUAUUUUGCAUUUCCCUAGUGAUGUAUGAUGUGGAACAUAUUUUCACAUGCUUAUUUGCCAUGUAUAUAUCAUCUUUAUCUUUUUAAGAGAGAGAGAGAGUGCAAGCAGAAGAGAGAGGCAGAAAGAGAGAAUCUCCAGCAGGUCCCAUGCUCAGCACAGAGCCCGACACAAGGCUCAAUCCCACAACCCUGGGAUCAUGACCUGAGCCAAAAUCAAGAGUCAGAUGCUCAGCUGACUGAACCACCCAGACGCCCCCUAUAUAUCAUCUUUGGUGAGGUGUCUGGUAGGGUCUUUGAUUUCUUUCUUAAUCGGAUUGGUUUUCUUAUUGCUCAGUUUUAAGAGUUCUUUGCGUAUCUUGGCUCCUGGUCUUUAUCAAGUAUGUCUUUUGCAAAUAUUUUCUCCUAACCUGUUACUUGCCUUCUCACACUCUUCGCAUUGUCUUUUGCAGAGCAGAAGUUUUAAAUUUUAAUGACGUCCAGCUAAUCAAUGAUUUACUUCAUGAAUUGUGCCAUUGGUGUUCUAUCUAAAAGGCAUCAUCCCUCUCUCCCUCAAAAUAAAGAAAUAAACAUUAAAAAAUAAUGCCUGGGUGGCUUAGUGGGUUAAGCAUCUGACUUUUUAUUUCGGAUCAGGUCAUAAUCUCAUGGUUGGUGGGAUUGAGCCCUGUGUCAGGCUCUGAACUGACAGCUCAGAGCCUGCUUGGGAUUUUCUCUCUCUCUCUCUCUCUCUCUUUCUGCUCCUCCCCCUCUUAUGCACAGACUCUCUCUCUCUCUCUCUCAAAAUAAAUAAAUAAACAGUUAAAAAGCCAUCACCAGGGGUGCCUGGGUGACUCAGUCAGUUGAGCACUGAUUUCGGCUCAGGUCGUGAUCUCACGGUUUGUGAGUUUGAGCCCCACAUCAGGCUCACGAUUGUCAGAGCAAAGCCCGCUUCAGAUCCUCUGUCCCCCCCCUCUCUCUGCCCGUCUCCUGCACGUGCUCUCUCUCUAUCAAAAAUAAAUAAAUGUUUUUUAAAAAGCCAUCACCAGACCCAAGGUUUUCUCCUGUUAUCUUCCAGGAGUUUGGGAUACAUAUACUUUUAAUUUAACCUGUGCCUGUUGCCCCAUCCACUUGGUUUCUGACAAUGCCCUUGGCACAUUGUCCUCUUAUGGUCUGGGAAAUGUUAGCAUUCGGCAACCUUCUCUCCUUUAUCUUGCUGGGAAGGCAAUUUCAGCCCUGCAUUUAAAACCUCCCACUACUUAUGUCUACCAGAUUACCUCCCCUCUCCUUACAAGUCUUCUUAUCAAAUGCAAUUGAGACUUCCACUUCUGUAACCAAGAUUUGUUUGAUUCUACACAGGCUUAGAAGCUGAUGUCUUCUCUCCGAGGUGGAAUUACAUUUACCAAGCUCAUGGGACUGAUGUGGAAAAUCGGAACGUCAGUGAAUUCACUGAUAACAAGAAAUAUAAUUGCUGAGAAGACUGGAAUACUCUCAUCAGUGUGACCAGCACAUUCUUUCCCGGAGGCAGAUCUAAGUGAAAAGCCAAAUUAUACAAAGAAGGUGGCUUGGUGAGCAUUUGAUCAUUGAGUUCUAUUGAUGAAGAGCCUAAUGCAGGUCUCCACUGAAUGUCAAUGUCAAACAUUGUACUGGACACUAGGUGGAGAAUGGUGAAUAAGAGAGAUGGGUCUCCGUGCUCACAGGUUCUAAGGCACUGGGGGAAGACAGGCCCUGAACAGGUAAUGAGACUUCUAGGUUAGAAAAACUACACCCCUUACCCUCUGCUUCCUCCCCGAACCUACGAAAAUAACAGUACAGGAAUUGUUCUGAAAAGGCAAAACGUAAAGACAGAGGUCUGCAAACCAUGGUCCACAGGCCAAAUCUAGCCUGCUGCCUGUUUCGGGACAGCCUGUCCUAAGAAUAGUCCUAUAUUUGCAAAUGGCUGGAAAAAAAUCAAAACCAGAAUAACAUUCUGUGACACGUGAAAAUGAUAUGAAAGUCAGAUUUCAGAGUGCAUAAAUAAAGUUUGGUGGGAACGCGGCCAUGCAUUCCAAUGCAGGUCCCAUGUAUUGUCUACGGCUGCUCUCGCGCUACCAUGACAUAGUUAAGUAGGUGCGAAGGAGGCCAUAUGGCGUGCAGAGCCAAAAAUAUUUACUAUCCGGCCCUUUACAGGAAAAAAAAAAAAUCCCAACCCCUGCUCUAGAACGGCACCGUCCAAUGGAACUUUCUGCAGUGACGGACGGGUCGUGUACCGCCAUCCGAUAUGGUAGCUGGCCACUAGCUACAUGUGGCUACUGAGCCCUUGAUAUGUGGCUGGUGCAACUAAGGACCUGAACGUUUAUUUUAUUUAUUUUAAUGAAUUUAAAUGUGAGUAGCUGGCAGAAGCUGCUGUGUUGGAUGGCACAGCGGUCGACUAUGACAAGAGGGCAUCUGGGCUGGGAAACACCACGUGUCGUGGAAGAUGGGACAUCUGCCCGAAAGCAGGGGGAUUAAGUGAAAGUUUACAUAUGGAAGCCUGGCAUGCCCCACCCAAUCUUCUUACAGGCUGCUUUCCUGACCUAGAUUCCAGAAUGCUGGCAGGGAGAAUUACACUCUCCUAAAAAGAAGCUGGGGGAACCAUCUCUGGGGACUUUGACCAGCUCGGGAGGAAGGACCUAAACAUGCGUCGGGAGCUUCCUAAUCGUCAUACCAAAUUGGCAGUGAAGAGACCCCCUGCCAAUCACAUAGCAUUCAGUAACCUUUAGCCUAGGUCCCACCCUCCCCCAUGAGCAGGUGGCCAAGGGCCCUCGUACAUUCGAGGAACAAUGUAAACGCGAAAGAGACCAAACAAACAGAGGGACAGAUCUAAGCGAAGAUCUCUGGGCGCACAUAUUUUGUUAAAUUUGGAGGUCUAUAAUGCUGGGAGAGAAAAAUGGCUUUUCUUUUCACUAAGUUCAAGGCAGCAUUUUCUUCACCUACAAACAUAAGCAACAAACUGUAGUAGUGUUAGCAGUUUCUGUGACUUCAUCAUCAAUAGAAACCGGGUAUUUUCCUGCCAUGAUGGUAUUGUUGGAGUCAUUUCAUAACAUCAUUUAUGCUCGUCAUGACUUUGAAAUGAUGGUAGUCAUUAGACACCCUGCUAAAUCUUCUAAUAUAGAAGCACAUAUGUCACUAUAUGACAGAUUUGUUUUUUAAAUAUUUUGAUAACUGUAUGUUGAUAUAAAUGAUUUCCUUUGUAAUCCUGUGCAUAGAAGUUGAUUCAUUUAAAGAUAUUAUGCUGAGAAAAGGUCCACUCUCCACCUGACUGCAGAGGGGUCCAGGGCACAAGAAGGGUUCUCUUUAGGAUGGCUAGGGAAUGGAGAUCAUAAUCGGUAAGCACUUUGUGCCAGAUUUUAAACCUCAGAAUUCUAAGAGUAAUUAUUAUUAUUACUUUGAUAGCUUUCCUUAGUACUUAAAAUGUUCAUUUUGUCAUUGCAAUGGGAUAUUUGGAGGGGGAGAGAAUCAUAGGACUUAAUCAGCCCCCUGGACCCAAAAGUUCAGUUUUCUUUUCUAAAAAUAGUACGUGCACAUCAUAAAUAAGCUAGAAAAGUACAAAGAGGACAACAAAAAUCACCUCCAAUCCCACUACCUAUUUGGCGAACAUUGUUCUAGGCAGCAUUGUGUGCAUAAACACAUAACAUACACAUAUAUCCACACAAACAUAUAAAGAUCAGUAUAUGUAUAAAGAUAUAUACGUAAUUAUAGGGGCACCUGGGUGGCUCAGUCCGCUGAGCGCCCACUUUUGGCUUGGCCCAGGUCAUAAUCUCACGGUUUGUGGGAUCCAGCCCCCGAGUCAGCUCCAAGCUGACAACACAGAGUCUGCUCGUGAUUCUCUCUCCCCCUCUUUCUGCUCCUCCCCUACGCACAAUCACUUGUUCUCUAAAUAAAUAAAUGUGAACAAAAUAAAGUUAAAGACAUAGACAUAAUUUUUGACAAAAACAGAAUCAAAGUACACAUUUAUUAUUAUUUUAUUUUUUACUACACAUUUAUUAUUAUCAUUGUAUUUUUUACCCUGCGUUUAUCUUCUAUAGUAAUAACAAGAAUUGAGGUGUGUAAUUAUUUUCACCAGUCAGUUAAGGAAACUGAGACUCAGAUAAUUAAAGCCUGGUGCAUGGUCACAGGUGGUGAGAGAGAAAGAAAUCUCUUGGUCAUCCCAGAAUGACUUACUGUUCAAGGACCCCAUGUCUGUGAGGGGGGAAGCCUGGAGUUCAACUGGACUGAGAGAGCUUCACCCUCCCAGCUGCACUUACCCAAAAGCUUGUGACCCGAAAUCUUUGUGAUUUGGGGGGAUUCUAGCUCGGGUGCAGGUGACGCAUAUGCCAAGUCCCAAAACAGAUCCGCUGAGAAGCUUCAACUGAAUGAUCAUACUUGGAGGCAGGAAUCUGGCACAUCCUGGGCUCCUUUCUAUAUUUCCAUUCUGAUUCCUUUGGGAAGCAAAUGGGAGCAAUUCUCAUUCACUCCAAAUGCAGCCCUUCGUGGGCACCACGUGCUGUGGUGGACAGAUGGAAAGCCAUCCACACAAAGGCUGACCUGUCCAUCCCGUCUGGCUCCCUGGAACUGGAGGAAGAUGAGACAAAGUGGACUUUCUGAGGUCCGUCCCAGAAUUUAUUUAAUCUGCAGGAUCCCAAAGCUCGGCGGGGCUGCAUCAGAAUCACCUGAGGAGCCUGUUGAAAGCAGUGAUGCAAGGUUCUGAUUCUAGAGUAGUGGAUGUCAACCUUGGCUACCCAUUAGAAUCACCAGGGAAGCCUUUAAAAAACAAAAUGGCGGAGUAGGCAUGUUAUGGACUGAAUGUCAUCCCCAAAUUCCUGUGUUGAAACCUCACCCAUCUCCUAUCAAUGUAAUGGCAUUAAGAGGUGGAGCCUUCGGGAGGCCUGACCUUAGAUGAGGCCAGGAGGGAGGAGCCCUUUAAUGGGAUUAGUGCCCUUACAAGACUCACCCGAGAGCUGUGCUUCCUGUAUCUGCUCUCUGCCUUGUGAGGGUACAAUAAGAAGCUGGCAGUCUGCAACCUAGAAGGGGGGUCCUCGCCAGAACCUGGCCAUGCCAGCACCCUGAUCUUGGACUUCCAGCCUCCAGGAAGGUAAGAAAGAAAUUCCUGUUGUUUAUUAUAAGCCACCCAGACUGUAAUGUUUCUGUUAGAGCAAUCCAAACUACUGCUCAGACAAGGCGCUCCGAGCUCCCCCAGAGAAACAUUGAGAAAGCAAGCAGACACUAUCAGAACUAACUUUGUCAGAACUCUGGAAAACCGUCAAGGUUUAUAGCAACCGAGUGAAUGCUGAACGAAGGAAAAAGCAACUUGAAAACGGCUCAGUGCAAACAGGGGUGCCGUCUGAGGCAGAGUUGUGAACAGCCUGGCUGAGUGUUGAAGGAACACCCCAGCACAGAGGCAGUCUGCAAAUACUGGGUGGUGUGUGUGUGUGCGUGUGUGCGUGUGAUUGAUGUAUAGUUGGUACAUCAUGUUAUAUUAGCUUCAGGUGUGCAACAUAGUGAUUCACCGUCUCUAAUACGUUAUUCUGUGCUCACAAGUGUAGCUACCCUCUGUCACCAGACAUCACUCUUAAGAUACCUUUGACUCUAUUCCCUAUGCUGUGCCUUUCAUCCCUGUGACUUAUUCAUCCCAUGACUGGAAGCCUGUACCCUCCAGUCCCCUUCACCCGUUGUGCCCAUCUCCUUCCUCUCUGGCAAUGACCACUUCUGAGAGGUGUGUUUUGUCUUGUUUUUAAAGUUUAUUUAUUUGAGAGAGCAAGAGAGCACCAGCAGGGGAGGGGCAGAGAGAGAGGGAGAUAGAGGAUUCCAAGCCGGUUCCAUGUUGUCAGCACGGAGCCCAACACAGGGCUCGAACCCAUUAACUGUGAGAUCAUGACCUGAGCCGAAAUCAAGAGUCGGACACUUAACUGACUGAGCCACCCAAGGCACCCCUUGUUUGUUUUGUUUUUAGUUCCUGGUGUUCAAGGAAAUCUCUGUCAAAACUCCGUGGAGCAUGAGCUAAAGGAACAGAGACAUCAGUGACUUCAUGUGAGUUUAUGUUCAUUUGCUACAGCAGCAGUAGGAAGCUAACGCAGCGCUCAUUGAACGUUAGCUCUGGCCAUUGGGGAGGAACUUCAGCUCCAUGUUACCUGUGGUCAGUGUGUUCAGUAAAUACUGAUCACAAUAAACAUAAUGGAUACGAGAACUCGCCAGAAGCGGUAUAGCAGGAGGUCUGUUCCUUUUCUGCUUAACUGUUGGUAUCGGAAGCAUCUGAAAGUACUUUGUUCAGUUUUUUUUAAAAAUCUGUAAUUCUGAACCAGUUACUUUAUUCCGCGGUGCAGGCCUGAUUCCACACUUUGGCGAAAGUUAGUAAUUUUUUAACAGGUAGAGGCGGCGGUGAAAUGGAACACACCUCAGGUCGGAAGUCCGAAAGUUGGGCUCUGGUCUCAGCUCCACCUCUAUCUGGCGGUGUGACUUAGGUCAUCUUGCCUCCUCUCUUUGGGUUUUGUUUUCCCCAUUCAGAAAAUGAAGGAAUUAGAUCAAUAAUAACUCCCAUGUGUCAAAUGCCUGCAAUGCACAAUUUAUACAUAUGGUCUCAUCUGAGCCCCAUAAAAACUGUGCAAGGUAUCAUCCCCAUUUUAUAGUUGAGAAAACUGAGAGGCCCAGAGAGGUUAAGUGACUUUCCCAAGGUCACAGAGUAUCAGGCAGAGCUGUGAUUUAAAACCAGGACUGUUUGACUCGUUUUGAUAAGCCCCUCUACCUUUCCACGUUUUGGAGGUCGACACUGUCUUCACAGAACAUGCUUAUGAGGCACCUGCUUUUCUCCGUACAUCAUAGUGAGGAUGAUGGGUCUCUCUAGCUUCCCACUUGAGGGGUCUGGAACCUGGUCCAUCUCUUGUGUUUCUGAGAACCUCUGAUUCAGCCCCUCAGAGACUUCCCUCACAACCAUGUAUCCCUCCUCUCACCUCUAACAGACACUACGAGGUGCUGAACCAAUGUCUGGCCUCUCCUUUUUACUUAGUAACAGAAUCCUAAUUUUGUUCGAAUAAAAUGUACCCACUUAAAAAUACCUGCCCGCAUUCCCUUGCAGGUGCACCCUUACAGGUGGUCCCCUGACCCAGCUCUGACCAAUGAGAUGUAAGUGGACGUUUGGGUGGGGAUUCUUGGGAAUCUAUCUUCUUCAUACUAAAAGGUGGGAGAAGUCAGCAAGCCCAAGGCACAAAUUGCCUUUGUUUUCAUCCUCGCCUGGAACGUAGGUGAGGUUUCUGGAAGUGGAGCAGCCAUCUUGUGACUAUGAGGGUGAGUGCCACCUGCUAAGGAUAGCAGAGCCGGAAGACCGAAGAAACUUCUUUGUCAUCGGUCCUCUGUACCAGCCUGGAUUGCUAGACUUCUUGUCACAUGAGAAAACUAAAGCUUUAUUUGGUCAGAUUUCUGUUCUGUCAACUUCAUACCAUCCUAACUGACAGGUUCUCUGAGAAAAGUCUCUCCUCUGCCCUGUAGGCCUGACAUGUGGCCUUAAUAAGCACCUGUGGUGACUCAGAAAUAGACCAGGGGGAAGAGAAAUUGGCCAUGGCUGUGAUUCUGAACUUGCUGAGCCAUCACCUGUUCAAUCCAUGCUCUGAAGAAGAGUCUGUUAAUUACACUCUCCUUGGCCAGCCAGAGCACAGGAGGCUGCGUCCGUGUGUUCUCAGGGAAGCUCAAAUAUAGCUCAGGCUCCUUCACCGCUUUUGCUGAGUGUGCAGCUUCUGCGUGUCUGGCAGCCCCAGCGAAGAAUGGAGAAGCUUUUCCCGGGAGGUUAGAGUCUGAAGAAGGUGCUAGGAAACAGGGAUGCUGGCAAGGUCUGGCUCAAGGAAACAAGGUCUUCCCUCCCGCCUUCUGCAAGGUGAGUAUUACACCUCCUAGUUAGCAGGUGACAAAACUUGCUUGAAGUCCAAACUGAGGCUCAGAGACCGAAGUGGCCGUGUGUCAGUCUGAGCAUUUGGUUGUAUGCAAAGAAGCGGACUCUGCGUAGCUGGAGGAAAAAAAUAGUUUGGGGGAAGAAUAUGGGAUGGCUCUCAGAAUUUCAGGCGAAGCUGAGAAACCAACUUGAACAAAGGGAACCAUAGUUCCAGGUGGUCUGGAUAGCAGAAUUCCAGCAUUGGGAUGACGUAGCUUCGAUCAUGGGCCCACGCCACAAUUAAAGAGGGCAGGAUGCCUUACCUGACCAUCUUUCUAGAUGGUGCUGGAAAAGGUGGUUUUCCUGGGGCUCCUGCCUGGCUCAUUCGGUGGAGUGUGCAGCUCUUGACCUUGAGGUCGUGAGUUCCAGCCCCACAUCAGGUGUAGAGAUUGCUUAAAUAAAUAAAUUUUCUAAAAAUCUAGAAAAGAAAAAGAAAAGUCGUUUUCCUGAAGCUACCACAGGGUUCAAGUACCAGAAUAAUGCAAGAGGAUGUUGGGCGGCAACACAAAACAAAAAAAUGUCCAAGGCAGGUAGUAUAGAAUUGGUCAAGGGGAUGGGUUUGGGGAGCUGGCUGACUUUAGUUAAAAUCUUAGCUCUGCUCUUUGGCCAAACCCAUUAACCUCUUAAGCCUCAAUUUCCUCCUCUGUGUGUAAUGAGGAUGAGUCAUAUUCAGAUCUACUAGAACAUACGAUUUUGUCCCCCACCCCCUCCAAAUGUUCUAUCCCCAGCACCUAGCCAAGUGCAUGCUUGCAGCUGAUGCUAAGUACAUAUUUAUGGAAGGAGUGAAUGAACUCUACAUUUGUCCCAGAAUACCUCUUAUGUAGGAAGCUAUUUGGUUGAAAAUAUAACGUGAUAGGUGCUUGAAGUGGAAAGUGAGCACCCCUGCUGCCUCACUGCCUCCCUCCGGGGAGGGAGGGGAAGGAGGAGAAAUCUAGGCAGACGCCCCGAGGUAGAUAAAAGGACAUCCACUCUGCAGACUCUUCCCCCGACACUCCCCACCAGCACGCUGACCUGCUUACUCACUUCAGUCACUCUGCCCUCGUCCUCACAAGCGAGGCUCUUUCGCUGAAAACAACAAUCCCACGUUGAGCGCAGGAUAGAUUCAUUCUAGCAAUCUCCAGGACUUCCUGGCAUAAUGUUGGCGUGUUAAACACUACUGAUAGGUUUGAUGGGUUAAGAAGGCUAAAGUCACCACGCCCCUGCGUUUCCCAGUGAACCAUGACGUAGAGUGGCAAACAGAACAAAAUCACAGCCCUGGAGAAUGUGUGCAUUGUUAAAACAAAACACACACCCAGCAGGACAUCGCUGGUGAAAUGAAUGCAUUGCGACUUUCUCAGUCAUGUUUUCAUUCACUAGUCUCAACGAGAUCAAAUUCUGAGUAGUUUUGUUCCCCAGGGCUACUGUAGAAAUACAAAGCAGAAAAGAAAGAGACCAACUUUGAAGAAGUAAGGAUAUUGGUAUCCUUGGUCCCUCUAAUAACCAGCACCUUUGCUAUACUCAUUGUCACCCUCAGAAGCUCCGCCGUCACCAUGCUCCCCAAUUACCACCACCGCCACCACCAUUUUCUUCCCCAUAAAAAUUCUCAUCAGCAUUGUUAUCACUACCUAGUAAAUGACACUGGGGCCCCACCCAGAUGCCCUUCACUAGGCCGGUGUACUCAUCCCCCAGCUGCUGUGAGAGUUGGUUGCUCACAGCUCACGGCCACUCCCUUCUGACAAUUCACCUCAGCCAGUGGAACUGCCUUGACAGGAAAUCCCUGGGCAUCUGUGCCCCUGAAGACCUGUGCCCCUGUGUACCCAAUGACCAACUAACUGGAUGUACAGUCCCCCACCGCCUUGCCUCAGGCUGGGACAACUCUCUUUGGAAUUAGGCAGUGGCUAGACUAGAGCUGCACCCAUAUUUUUUUUGCCUACCUUUCUCCCUAGUCGUAUUCUCCUUCCCUCACCCCCUCAAAGGCUUCACCCGAGAGAUCCCUCAAUAAGUCACUUGUACUUGUACUGGCCAGCUCUAGCUCAUGAGGGUCAACUGCACACUUUCUUCCCAACUCUGUGCUGAGUGACAUUGCGUUGAUAGCUUGGAAUCAGACAUGGUGGGAGUACUUACACCAUGGAAGCUGGCAAAAACACUUUUGCUAUUGUUCAUUUUGAAGUGCUAGUUGUUAAAUAUUUACUGCAUACCACCAGGCACAGGUCGGCCAUACAAUUCCAAACGUUUGUUGGAAUGCCAGCCCUAAGUUGUCACUUGAGGGGCUGAGGUAGAUUCCUACCCCUGGGGGGACUUAUCCAUAGGCUACCAGUGGUGUAUGAAUUAUGUGGUGAGAAAAAAAUGGCUUAGGUCAUCAGGUGUCUCGUGGAAUUGGGUAAUCAAUAAGUUGUGACCAGUUGGCAAGGAGAAUUGAAUAAUGCUAAUAAUCAUAGCUGUCGUUUAUUGAGUACUAAGUUAAAUUUGUGUUGUGCUAAGCACUUUGCAUGAAUUAUUCUUGUGUAAGUCUUAUAAUACCCCUUGCAGGAAUAUCAUCACCCCAUUUGAUCAGAUUGAACAAGCUCUAGAGGUAAAGUCCUUGCCUAAGGCCACAUAGCUUAUUGGUGCAAGCAUUGGGAUUUGACCCCCAGUCUUUCUGACUCCAGAGCCUGUAUUCAUAGCCCCUCGUGAAACAGAUCUGGGGGCCCAGAUAGGCAAAAGCCACAGGCACAGUGAUUAUAAGAAUGAGUAGAAACUAGAUUAAGGUGAAUGUGCUCAUCAGGACACCUUGGUUUCAAGUUGAAAAAACUAAACUUGAAUCAGCUUCAAGAAAAAAGGAUUCUUCACUGGCUCAAUCUAUCCUUAGGAAGAACAAAACUAAGGCGGGCCUUAGGGCUGACGGGAAGAAGAGUCUAGAAUCCAAAACCAUGCAAUUCUGUCUCUCUCUCUCUCUCUCUCUCUCUCUCCCUCCCUCCUUUCCCUCCCCCCCCCCUUUGUUUCUCUUUGCAUCCUGGCUGGACACAUCCUAGGGAAAGGCUUUCCCAGCUACCCUGGGCCUUUGUUACUAUUCAAUUGCAGAGGGUAGUUGUCCAAGGCAUCCAAAGGGUGGUGGGAUCCUGAACCCGGAAUUCGUGCCAGGUGACUCUCUGAUCAGUGAGGAGACACAGAGCUUAUGACGAUGAAAAACCUUAUGGAGAGUGGGUAGUCGCCACAGCUUCCCCCAUGAUUAGAAUUCCCAUACUUGACCACGGUUCUUCCCAAGCAGCAGAUAGCGUGAAGUGGAAGAGAGAGAGCGUAGGUUUGGUGUCACAGAGAUCUAAUUUCACACGGUGGCUUUCCCGUGCCACCCCGUACUUUGCCUGAGAGAUAGCUGAUGGUUAGCCGGCAGUGUGGCUUCGGGCAAGUCCCUUCACUUCUCUGAAUCUGAAUUUGCCCACGUGGGAUGUGGAGAUGAUCAUCACGCUUAGUUGGCAGCAUUGUGAAUGUUACACGAGUGAGGUGUAAGCAGAGACGGUGCUUGGUUAGUGUUCGUUCCCACAUCCACUCGCUUUCCCAACAGAACCAAUCCUCCUUUGUUAGGUCGUUUCUGACUAGGCUGGUGGGGUGGCCUCUACUCUUACCCAGGGGUACAGGGGAAAGGGAAAUGUAUUCUAUGAAAACUAUCCGGACAAGGCCCUAAUUCUUUGCUCUGCCAGCAGUUACAUAAAUCCCAAAGUCAUCUCUAUCUUUCCCCGCCGCCCUGGCUAGCCUCCAGACCAAUUAAACAUUGAUGGUGUAGCUAUACUUAUCUCCAUCUCCCUCUCCCAAUCAAGGCUUGGACAUCAAUUCUCUCUUUCAAAUAAAAAAUUUAACCCUCACAUUUUUGGAUUCUUCGGUUUAUGAAGCACUUCCAGAUUCGCUGACUUCACAUACUUAUUAUAGGAGUUAAAGCAAUAUGGAAAAGUACAAAGAAGGAAGUGAGAAAGUCAAGUGAUCAAGGUCAACAGCACGAAGGGUAAGUCAUGUUGAUAUUAUGUGCCCCUGCUAUGAUGUGAUAGGAAGAGCACAUCACUCCCCCCAAACCUAUAAUCUCAGUCUAAUCAUGAGGAAGUGGGAGACUAGCGAAAAUGGAAGAUAUUCUACAAAAUGAAGUGACCGCUACUCUUUGAAAAUGUCAAGACUAUGAAAGACAAGGAAAGAGUGAGAACCUGUCAUAGGCCAGAGGAGAUGUGACAUCUGAAUGCAAGAUGGUAUCCUGGUUUGGAAACUGGGACAGAAAAAAGGACGUCAGUGGAAAAAUUGGACAAUCCGAAGGAAGUCUGCAGUGUAGUUAAUCAUAUUAUGCAUAUCACCCAGUUAAUUUCAUUUUGAUAAAUGUACUGUGCUUAUGUAAGGAUGUUAACAUUAGAGCAAGUUAGGUGAAGAAUAAGUGAGAUGGUACUUUUUGCUCUAUCUUUGCAACUCUUCUGUAAAUCUACAAUUAUUUCAAAUUUAAAAGUCGAAAAACAAAACCAAAAACACCUGAGAUUUGCAUAAUUCAAAUGAGAUGAAUGUCAUGCCCAACAUCUUUCAAUGCGUGUACACAGAUAAUCAGAAAUAGUUUUAUCAAAAUUGUUUCAUAUUAUAAAACUCUAAUUUUGAGAGAUCUUUCAUAUAUUUGACUGGGAUUUCAUAGAAUUUUUGUGGAUGAAAGAAUAUCUGAACUUUAGAUAGCUCUUUUUCCACCAAAAAACAAUAUUAGCUCAUCAAAGAUCCCUCCGGAAAACAUCAAGAGGUUGCAGCCAUCAUCAUUUUUAACUAAAUAUUUCAAUUUCAGAUAGCAACUACCUGCAGUGAAACAUUGGCAGUUUUUAAAAAGUUUUUAAUGUUUAUUUAUUUUUGAGAGAAAGAGAGAGACAGAGUGAGAGUGGGGGAGGGGCAGAGAGAGAGGGAGACACAGAAUCCGAAGCAGGCUCCAGGCUCUGAGCUGUCAGCAAAGAGCCCAAUGCGGGGCUUGGACUCACAAAUCAAGAGAUCAUGACCUGAGCCGAAGCUGGACGCCCAACCAACUGAGCCACCCAGGUGCCCCGAAACAUUGGCACUGUUAUGCUUUUCCCCAUCCCUUCUCCCCAAACUUCCCAUUUUGCAUUAGUUAUUAUGUUUACAUUGUUGAGUGAAACAGUUAGAGGUUGCUUUUAGUCAUGAGUUACAGAAAACAGUAGCUUAAAUAAACAAGUAGUGAAGAGUUAGACAGUCACUGCCUCAGGUUCAGGGCCUCAAGAAUGUCAGGAUUGGGGUCUCUGCAAGUCUCUUGGGGUUUUCCUCAUAAUUACAAAACAGCUGCUGCAGCUCCAGCCACCAUGUCUCUAUUUCACUAAAAGAAGGAGAAAAUGACUCUAUCAAGAAAGCUUUCCACAAAUUCUUAGUCUAUAUCUCAUUGGCCGUAACUGUGUUACAUGCCACCCCUGGCAGUAACAGGCUAGGAAAUGUGGGAUUUUUUUUUUUUUUUUUACUAGGUACAUGUGAUGGACCCAAUCUAAAUUGGUAUUUCUUAGUAAGGAAGGAAGAGCUGCUAAUUCUCACAGUUAUUUUUUUCUUAUUCUAUAUUUAGGCAUAUUUAAUACUUACAGGUAAUCUCAUAUACCAAAGCUUCUUUGUACCUAAAUUCUUUAUUUUGAUCCACUUCUUGGUUGGCAGGGUUUCAUUGUCAGGGGUGAGCUGAGGCUCAGGAAGCAGCCACGAAAACCUGCCUCGCACCCCCUCUCAUUUCUCCACUGCGCUGGAAUCGGACUCUAAAUGGAAAGAGGGAGUCAAGAGGGCCCCAGCC
rnacentral:lncRNA from 1 species